rnacentral:rRNA from 1 species
CAGCCGCCGCGGUAAUACCGAGGGUGCGAGCGUUAAUCGGAUUUACUGGGCGUAAAGCGUGCGUAGGCGGCUUCUUAAGUCGGAUGUGAAAUCCCUGAGCUUAACUUAGGAAUUGCAUUCGAUACUGGGAAGCUAGAGUAUGGGAGAGGAUGGUAGAAUUCCAGGUGUAGCGGUGAAAUGCGUAGAGAUCUGGAGGAAUACCGAUGGCGAAGGCGACUAUCUGGGCCAACACUGACACUGAGGCACGAAAGCGUGGGGAGCAAACAGGAUUAGAUACCCCUGUAGUCCCUGUCUCUUAUAC